CAGGUGCUGCAUGGCUGUCGUCAGCUCGUGUCGUGAAAUGUUGGGUUAAGUCCCGCAACGAGCGCAACCCUUAUCCUUUGUUGCCAGCGGUCCGGCCGGGAACUCAAAGGAGACUGCCAGUGAUAAACUGGAGGAAGGUGGGGAUGACGUCAAGUCAUCAUGGCCCUUACGACCAGGGCUACACACGUGCUACAAUGGCGCAUACAAAGAGAAGCGACCUCGCGAGAGCAAGCGGACCUCAUAAAGUGCGUCGUAGUCCGGAUUGGAGUCUGCAACUCGACUCCAUGAAGUCGGAAUCGCUAGUAAUCGUGGAUCAGAAUGCCACGGUGAAUACGUUUCCGGGCCUUGUACACACCGCCCGUCACACCAUGGGAGUGGGUUGCAAAAGAAGUAGGUAGCUUAACCUUCGGGAGGGCGCUUACCACUUUGUGAUUCAUGACUGGGGUGAAGUCGUAACAAGGUAACCGUAGGGGAACCUGCGGCUGAUCACCUC
rnacentral:rRNA from 1 species